rnacentral:lncRNA from 1 species
CGGAUGGAUGCCGACACCCAAAGCCUAAAAAUCCGCGCUUAAGGGAAGCGCAGCGAUCGCUUUGCGGUGCCCUGAGGAGGGUGGGCAGCGCCGGGGUCGGCUGGGAUGCGGUCCUACAGCUCCAUCCCAGAGCAGCGGAGCGGAACCGCACGGCACGAAACGCAGCGCUGCAGUGAGCGGAGCGCGGAAGGGCCGCAAAACCCGACGGCGAAAGCAGCCCUUCCGCGCACGAGCUCAUCCUGGCCUGGCUCACCCCCGGCUCAUAGCAGCACCGUUGGUGUUACAGCGAGUCAAACCCUGGCAAUAAAGGAGAAUUAUGGCCAACGCAG